rnacentral:rRNA from 1 species
GGAUGCGAUCAUACCAGCUCUAAAGCACCGAAUCCCAUUAGAACUCCAAAGUUAAGCGUGCUUGGGCGAGAGUAGUACUAGGAUGGGUGACCUCCUGGGAAGUCCUUGUGUUGCAUUCC